UCCUGUUACCACUGAUUGA
rnacentral:siRNA from 1 species